AAUGUGUUGUUGUUCCUGCAUCGUCCGUUGAUGAA
rnacentral:sRNA from 1 species